CAGCGCGUGAUCGCAUAACUGCGCCGAAUCGAAAUGCACAUGCACAUCGAUGCCGCCGGGUGUGACGAUCAGGCCUUCGGCAUCGCGUACGGUGGUGGCGACGCCGCAAAUCAAUUGCGGGUGCACACCGUCCAUGAUCUGCGGAUUGCCCGCCUUGCCGAUGGCGACGAUCUUGCCCGCCUUGAUGCCGAUGUCGCCUUUGACGAUGCCAAUCACCGGAUCGAUGAUCAGCGCGUUGCAGAUCAGCAUGUCGAGUGCGCCGUCGUCGCUGUCGUGACCCGGCAUCAGGCCCAUGCCGUCGCGCAG
rfam:Pseudomonas floridensis strain GEV388 GEV-388_contig_182, whole genome shotgun sequence.